rnacentral:rRNA from 1 species
AUUGAACGCUGGCGGGAGGCCUAACACAUGCAAGUCGAACGAGUGGCGGACGGGUGAGUAAUGUCUGGGAACCUGCCUGGUGGAGGGGGCUAACUACUGGAAACGGUAGCUAAUACCGCAUACCAUCAGAGCUGCCCAGAUGGGAUUAGCUUGUUGGUGGGGUAACGGCUCACCAAGGCGACGAUCCCUAGCUGGUCUGAGAGGAUGACCAGCCACACUGGGACUGAGACACGGUCCAGACUCCUACGGGAGGCAGCAGUGGGGAAUGUUGGACAAUGGGCGAAAGCCUGAUGCAGCCAUGCCGCGUGUAUGAUGAAGGCCUUCGGGUUGUAAAGUACUUUCAGCGGAGAGGCGUUACCUGCAGAAUAAGCACCGGCUAACUCCGUGCCAGCAGCCGCGGUAAUUC